rnacentral:rRNA from 1 species
GGUUGAUCCUGCCAGUAGUCAUAUGCUUGUCUCAAAGAUUAAGCCAUGCAUGUCUAAGUAUAAACCUGAUACAGUGAAACUGCAGAUGGCUCAUUAAAUCAGUUAUAGUUUAUUUGAUUGAUCCUUUUUUUUUUACUUGGAUAACCAUAGUAAUUCUAGAGCUAAUACAUGCCACCACUCCCAACUGGGCGACCAGAAGGGAUGCAUUUAUUAGAUGUGAAAAACCAAUGCAGGGCUUCACAGCCCUGGUAACCCUUGGCGAUUCAUGAUAACUCUAGCAGAUCACAUGGCC